rnacentral:rRNA from 1 species
AUGAACGCUAGCGACAGGCCUAACACAUGCAAGGUCAGGGGCAGCACAAGGAGCAAUCUGAGGUGGCGACCGGCGCACGGGUGAGUAACACGUAUGCAACCUGCCUGUAAGCGGGGAAUAACCCGUUGAAAGACGGACUAAUACCGCAUAAUACUAAAUUACUGCAUGGUAAUUUAUUUAAACAUUUAUGGCUUACAGAUGGGCAUGCGCAUGAUUAGCUAGUUGGAGAGGUAACGGCUCCCCAAGGCAACGAUCAUUAGGGGUUCUGAGAGGAAGGUCCCCCACACUGGUACUGAGACACGGACCAGACUCCUACGGGAGGCAGCAGUGAGGAAUAUUGGUCAAUGGACGAGAGUCUGAACCAGCCAAGUCGCGUGCAGGAAGAAUGUCCCUAUGGAUUGUAAACUGCUUUUGCAGGGGAAUAAAGUGCAUCACGUGUGAUGUUUUGUAUGUACUCUGCGAAUAAGGAUCGGCUAACUCCGUGCCAGCCGCCGC